UACGUAGGGGGCAAGCGUUGUCCGGAAUCAUUGGGCGUAAAGCGCGUGUAGGCGGCCCGAUAAGUCCGCUGUGAAAGUCCAGGGCUCAACCCUGGGAUGCCGGUGGAUACUGUCGGGCUCGAGUCCGGAAGAGGCGAGUGGAAUUCCUGGUGUAGCGGUGAAAUUCGUAGAUAUUAGGAAGAACACCGGUGGCGAAGGCGGGUCUCUGGGCCGAUACUGACGCUGAGGAGCGAAAGCGUGGGGAGCGAACAGG
rnacentral:rRNA from 1 species